rnacentral:rRNA from 1 species
AUUGAACGCUAGCGGGAUGCCUUACACAUGCAAGUCGAACGGCAGCACGGACUUCGUUCUGGUGGCUAGUGGCGAACGGGUGAGUAAUGUAUCGGAACGUGCCCAGUAGCGGGGGAUAACUACUCGAAAGCGUAGCUAAUACCGCAUACGCCCUACGGGGUAAAGCCGGGGAUCGCAAGACCUUGCACUAUUGGUGCUGCCGAUAUCGGAUUAGCUAGUUGGUGGGGUAACGGCUCACCAAGGCGACGAUCCGUAGCUGGUCUGAGAGGACGACCAGCCACACUGGGACUGAGACACGGCCCAGACUCCUACGGGAGGCAGCAGUGGGGAAUUUUGGGCAAUGGGGGAAAGCCUGAUCCAGCCAUCCCGCGUGUGCGAUGAAGGCCUUCGGGUUGUAAAGCACUGUUGGAAGGAAAGAAACGGCGCGGGUUAAUACCUCGCGAAACUGACGGUACCUGCAGAAUAAGCACCGGCUAACUACGUG